rnacentral:rRNA from 1 species
AGUUUGAUCCUGGCUCAGGAUGAACGCUAGCUACAGGCUUAACACAUGCAAGUCGAGGGGAAACGAUAGAGAAAGCUUGCUUUUUCUAGGCGUCGACCGGCGCACGGGUGAGUAACGCGUAUCCAACCUGCCCAUCACUUGGGGAUAACCUUGCGAAAGUAAGACUAAUACCCAAUGACGUCUCUAGAAGACAUCUGAAAGAGAUUAAAGAUUUAUCGGUGAUGGAUGGGGAUGCGUCUGAUUAGCUUGUUGGCGGGGUAACGGCCCACCAAGGCGACGAUCAGUAGGGGUUCUGAGAGGAAGGUCCCCCACAUUGGAACUGAGACACGGUCCAAACUCCUACGGGAGGCAGCAGUGAGGAAUAUUGGUCAAUGGGCGAGAGCCUGAACCAGCCAAGUAGCGUGCAGGAUGACGGCCCUAUGGGUUGUAAACUGCUUUUAUAAGGGAAUAAAGUGAGUCUCGUGAGACUUUUUGCAUGUACCUUAUGAAUAAGGACCGGCUAAUUCCGUGCCAGCAGCCGCGGUAAUACGGAAGGUCCGGGCGUUAUCCGGAUUUAUUGGGUUUAAAGGGAGCGUAGGCCGGAGAUUAAGCGUGUUGUGAAAUGUAGACGCUCAACGUCUGCACUGCAGCGCGAACUGGUUUCCUUGAGUACGCACAAAGUGGGCGGAAUUCGUGGUGUAGCGGUGAAAUGCUUAGAUAUCACGAAGAACUCCGAUUGCGAAGGCAGCUCACUGGAGCGCAACUGACGCUGAAGCUCGAAAGUGCGGGUAUCGAACAGGAUUAGAUACCCUGGUAGUCCGCACGGUAAACGAUGGAUGCCCGCUGUUGGUCUGAAUAGGUCAGCGGCCAAGCGAAAGCAUUAAGCAUCCCACCUGGGGAGUACGCCGGCAACGGUGAAACUCAAAGGAAUUGACGG